AGAGAAAUGGCUCAAUGGUUAAGAGCACUGAGUGCUCUUGCAGAAGAUCUGGGUUCAAUUCCCAGCUUUUAUA
rnacentral:tRNA from 1 species